rnacentral:rRNA from 1 species
GGACACAUUGAGCACUGAUUUUUCGAACGCACAUUGCGGCCUCGGGUUCUGCCCGGGGCCUCGCCUGUCUGAGGGUCGGAUAAGACUUGCAAAGGAAAGUUCGCUUUCCAAUUGGCCGCGUCGGAGCCCAUCAAACGGCUUCGUCGGCUCAAGUAAAGAUAGGAUCCUCCCCGGUCGAGAGAGCGCGAGCCCUUGUGCAUGCUCGUCGACAGGAGAAGACGGAAAACGUUUCUCCGAGAGGACGAGACGGCUCGGUGCUGAGAAGACCGUUCUGUGGGGAUGAGAACCUACGCGGACUCCGAAAGGAAGUUCGUGCCAAACUCUUUUUUAACUUUGACGACCUCAGAUCAGACGAGAUGACCCGCUYAAUUUAAGCCUAUC